rnacentral:rRNA from 1 species
GACGAACGCUGGCGGCGUGCUUAACACAUGCAAGUCGAACGGAAAGGCCCUGCUUUUGUGGGGUGCUCGAGUGGCGAACGGGUGAGUAACACGUGAGUAACCUGCCCUUGACUUUGGGAUAACUUCAGGAAACUGGGGCUAAUACCGGAUAGGAGCUCCUGCUGCAUGGUGGGGGUUGGAAAGUUUCGGCGGUUGGGGAUGGACUCGCGGCUUAUCAGCUUGUUGGUGGGGUAGUGGCGUACCAAGGCUUUGACGGGUAGCCGGCCUGAGAGGGUGACCGGGCACAAUGGUACUGAGAGACGGACCAGUAUCCAACGGGCGGCAGCGGUGGGAAAUAUUGCACAAUGGGCGGAAGCGUGAGGCGGCAACGUCGGGUGCGGGAUGCCGGCUUUCGGGGUGUAAACCGCUUUCGCCGGUGACGAAGCGUGAGUGACGGUAAUGGGUAAGGAAGCACCGGCUAACUACGUG